CUGAAAGAACAACAGGGAUUGCCCCAGUAACGGCGAGUGAAGCGGCAACAGCUCAAAUUUGAAAUCUGCCCCCCAGGGCCCGAGUUGUAAUUUGCAGAGGAUGCUUUUGGCGCGGUGCCUUCCGAGUUCCCUGGAACGGGACGCCACAGAGGGUGAGAGCCCCGUCUGGUCGGACGCCAAGCCAGUGUAAAGCUCCUUCGACGAGUCGAGUAGUUUGGGAAUGCUGCUCUAAAUGGGAGGUAUAUGUCUUCUAAAGCUAAAUACCGGCCAGAGACCGAUAGCGCACAAGUAGAGUGAUCGAAAGAUGAAAAGCACUUUGAAAAGAGGGUUAAACAGUACGUGAAAUUGUUGAAAGGGAAGCGCUUGUGACCAGACUUGGGCCCGGUGAAUCAUCCAGCGUUCUCGCUGGUGCACUUCGCCGGGCUCAGGCCAGCAUCAGUUCGCCGCGGGGGACAAAAGCUUCGGGAACGUGGCUCCCUCGGGAGUGUUAUAGCCCGCUGCAUAAUACCCUGCGGUGGACUGAGGUUCGCGCUCCGCAAGGAUGCUGGCGUAAUGGUCAUCAGCGACCCGUCUUGAAACACGGACCAAGGAGUCGUCUUCGUAUGCGAGUGUUCGGGUGCCAAACCCCUACGCGUAAUGAAAGUGAACGCAGGUGAGAGCUUCGGCGCAUCAUCGACCGAUCCUGAUGUUCUCGGAUGGAUUUGAGUAAGAGCAUACGGGGCCGGACCCGAAAGAAGGUGAACUAUGCCUGUAUAGGGUGAAGCCAGAGGAAACUCUGGUGGAGGCUCGCAGCGGUUCUGACGUGCAAAUCGAUCGUCAAAUAUGGGCAUGGGGGCGAAAGACUAAUCGAACCUUCUAGUAGCUGGUUUCCGCCGAAUUUUCCCUCAGGAAACC
rnacentral:rRNA from 1 species